rnacentral:rRNA from 1 species
GAUGAACGCUGGCGGCGUGCUUAACACAUGCAAGUCGAACGGGAAAUACUUUAUUGAAACUUCGGUGGAUUUAAUUUAUUUCUAGUGGCGGAUGGGUGAGUAACGCGUGGGUAACCUGCCUUAUACUGGGGGAUAACAGCCAGAAAUGACUGCUAAUACCGCAUAAGCGCACAGAACCGCAUGGUUCGGUGUGAAAAACUCCGGUGGUAUAAGAUGGACCCGCGUUGGAUUAGCUAGUUGGCAGGGCAGCGGCCUACCAAGGCGACGAUCCAUAGCCGGCCUGAGAGGGUGAACGGCCACAUUGGAACUGAGACACGGCCCAGACUCCUACGGGAGGCAGCAGUGGGGAAUAUUGCACAAUGGGGGAAACCCUGAUGCAGCGACGCCGCGUGAAGGAAGAAGUAUCUCGGUAUGUAAACUUCUAUCAGCAGGGAAGAUAAUGACGGUACCUGACUAAGAAGCCCCGGCUAACUACGUGCCAGCAGCCGCGGUAAUACGUAGGGGGCAAGCGUUAUCCGGAUUUACUGGGUGUAAAGGGAGCGUAGACGGCGCAGCAAGUCUGAUGUGAAAGGCAGGGGCUUAACCCCUGGACUGCAUUGGAAACUGCUGUGCUUGAGUGCCGGAGGGGUAAGCGGAAUUCCUAGUGUAGCGGUGAAAUGCGUAGAUAUUAGGAGGAACACCAGUGGCGAAGGCGGCUUACUGGACGGUAACUGACGUUGAGGCUCGAAAGCGUGGGGAGCAAACAGGAUUAGAUACCCUGGUAGUCCACGCCGUA